CUGGAGGCACCCUGGUUGGAAGACACCGGCCUAAGUACAUGCUAGGAUUUGCUGGUCUUCAAGUGAGCCUGGAAAACUUACAAGGAUUGUCUGAUGGUGGAUCGCAACAGCAAAGCCUUGAAAAGACGUUCCCAUAAUGAAACCCAAUGAACCAGCCUGGUUCUAUUCUCUGCCCCCUGGCAGUGUGGAGGAUGAAACAUUUUUUAUAGAGAACAAGUCAACACAACCGCACCAAGACUGGAAAUUCAGCUAUUCUUAUGUGGAAGAUUUGUUAAAGAAUUUUCUGAAAAUAAAAAGUUCCAUU